rnacentral:lncRNA from 1 species
GCCCCGGGAGCCCAGGGCAGGGCUCAGGCCGGGUAGCCCUGAGAAGCAGGGCCCAUUGAAUAUGUGUGAAAUGCAGAACACUCAGUAAAUGGGCUGUAGUGGAAAUCCCGCAUCUGUGAUACCGGAGGGGUUUGUGUAUUUCUGGCUGCUGGUAGAUAAGAACCAGAAAUUUCUGUGUGCUGAAAACUAGAGCACAGAAAGAUUGGUGCUUGUUAUAUGAGUUUGCUUGGGGACUUCCCCAGCCAGUUCUGUGCUCCUCAAGGCGGGAAACCAUGCUUGCCAAUCUUUUGGACUCAUUUUUAAUCGGCUUGGAAAUUUAAUCAGAAUAAUGCCAGGUAUGGAAACCACCGCCUGGGAUUAAAGCAUCAGUGAAGAUGCUGCUUAGGAGGAAUUCAGAUUUUAGAGAAGAAAGGAGGUCAUGAGAGCUCAUUACUGGAUCACUGAACUGGUGCCUCAGCCAUGAACCUGGUGAAGAAUGAGAAAAGAAAUCUUUCUUCCCCUACAGAAG